UACUCUAGCAAUACCACCCUGAUCAUGCUCAAUCUCAUCUGAUCUCAGAAGCUAAGCUGGGUCCGGCCUGGUCAGUACUUAGACGGGAGACUGCCUGAAAUAACGAGUGCUAUAGGGC
rnacentral:rRNA from 1 species